GGCGGGACGCAGAGAACGGCGACGGCGCCGACGGCGGCGGGAAGGGCGGACGGGGCGGGUCUGGCUGGUGGCGCGUAGCCCGAGGAGCCCGACAGCGGGCGGCGGGUGAAGAUCGGGCGCCGGGCACCCGAACUUGGACAAGUUGCCGGAACCACAGGGCGCCGGCGGCGGACAGAUUGACCUUCAAAGCGAGGAGUGGAGUCACAGCUGGUUCCGUCUCCCUGCUACACCUAUCUCUGCAUUCUCCAGGAGUCAUGACUGGUCCACCCUCCCCACUACACCUCUGAAAUACGCUGGGAAGAAGGGUCCAGGGAACUCCUCCAUCCUGAGGUAGAGGUGGCUGCUAGCAGCUUAGUAACUGCCUUCCAGACAAGUAUCUACCUGUGGGCACCCAGUGCAGGCUUUGUCAUACCUCUGUGACAGGCUGUUAGAGAAGAGACCUAGGAGCCAUAGAAAUUGUAAGAAUGGUUAUGCAUAAGACUGUUUCCACCAGGCAGAGUGCUUUGGCUCCUGUCUGCACAGAGCCUGACUGGGUCUGUCAUAUCAAGAAGGGCUAUAUAAGACACUGAACUGGGUGCCUGGAGGCCAAGGCCAUGGGUAUGUGAUCAGUGGGGUAGGUGGAGAAGAACUUUGGUAUCCUCUGGGAGGUUUGUGUUGUCCAUUGUCCCUCUGUGUAUCUCUGGGUGACUAAGAAAGUCUCUCUAGGACUGGAACCUGGGGCUGGGGAGGUUGGAGCCAACCUGCUUGGAGAGGGUGGGCUUUUGCAGGGAGGGAAAGAGGCUUCCAGCUGGAGCUUCCCUCUGUGCCGUGAGUAAUCCUUGGCCACAUUUGCUGUUCCCAGGGGAUUGUGCAACUUCCUCUCACUGAGAUGUAGGGGGCUGGGUGAGAAACA
rnacentral:lncRNA from 1 species